GACGAACGCUGGCGGCGUGCUUAACACAUGCAAGUCGAGCGAGGCCCGCCCUUCGGGGCGGUGUCCUAGCGGCGAACGGGUGAGUAACACGUGGGCAACCUGCCCUCAGCUCUGGGAUAACUCCAAGAAAUUGGGGCUAAUACCGGAUAUGACCGCUGACCGCAUGGUCUGGUGGUGGAAUGAUUUAUCGGCUGGGGAUGGGCCCGCGGCCUAUCAGCUUGUUGGUGGGGUAGUGGCCUACCAAGGCGACGACGGGUAGCCGGCCUGAGAGGGUGACCGGCCACACUGGGACUGAGACACGGCCCAGACUCCUACGGGAGGCAGCAGUGGGGAAUAUUGCGCAAUGGGCGGAAGCCUGACGCAGCGACGCCGCGUGGGGGAUGACGGCCUUCGGGUUGUAAACCUCUUUCAGCAGGGAUGAAAUUGACAGUACCUGCAGAAGAAGCCCCGGCUAACUACGUGCCAGCCGCCGCUGUAAUAC
rnacentral:rRNA from 1 species